CGGCGCUGUGUCUUUCUUCCUUUUCCCGAUAAGCCCUGGAGACUUUUGUAAUGCAAAUGCAAAUGGAUUUUGAUUCAGAAACCCACCUUCAAAAAAUCAACAAUCCACCCACCAUCUUCUCCUUCUUCCUCCUUCCUCCUCACCUUAAUUCAUAAUCCUUUCUCACCCAAUUCUCUUUCGUCCUCGCUCCUCACUGCUUUUUCCUUCCAUUCUCUCCAUAAACCCUAGAAAAUAGAAACUGUUUUUCUCUCUCUCUCUCUUCCCCUCUCCCUCCUUCUACUACUGCAUUUUUCGUGUGCCAAGGGAUCAGCAAAAACACUGAGGGUGAAAGAAAGCUUCAUAAAUGCAAUAGUAGCUUAAAAGGGUUGGUCCGGAUGGGCGAGACCUUCUGCAAGUUUUGAUCUUUUUGGUUGAUAUCAACAAAUCAGAACGGCCCAGAUCGAAGGAGCUGCUGCGUCUCUGAGAUCUACUCAGGCUUUGCUUUUGAAAGCGUUCUCUGCAACUGCAAAAAAGCUUGAACGAGGGCCUCUCCUUCCUGACUUGGACUGUGAUAUAUCGGAGCGUAAAAAAAAAAAAGGCCUUUUUAUCCCUACAAACCCAGACUAGUCUGAAUUAUCACCAUCAAUGCAAAGGACACACCAACCCCACCUGCACUCUCCUUCCUUCUCUCUCUAAAACUUCUCUCUCACUCUCUAACCCCUCUGUGCCUCUUCUAAAGUGUGAGUUUAAUAACAGACAAGGAAGGAGGGUUUCUUCUAUAGCUUGAGCCGCGCAAAAGGCAUGAUUGUGGUAUGGAGGAGGAUGGGAUUCAAGCACAAGCGUGUAAAUUCCCGAGAAUUGAAAAUGGAAGUGCGAGAAACAAUUCCUCCAACAAGAUAGGUUCCAAUAUUAAUGAAGAAAAUGGUGACCUCAGAAAAAGAAGUGGAGGAGGUAGUGAUGGAAGCAGCAACCGAUUCCACAGUUGGCAACACCACUCGUCUAGAAUCGUUAGGGUUUCUCGUGCCUCCGGCGGGAAGGAUCGGCACAGCAAGGUCAUGACUUCCAAGGGUUUAAGAGACCGAAGGGUUCGGCUCUCUGUCACCACGGCGAUCCAAUUCUACGACCUUCAAGAUCGUCUGGGUUACGAUCAGCCCAGUAAAGCCGUGGAAUGGCUAAUCAAAGCAGCGUCUGAUGCAAUUUCUGAGCUCCCUUCUCUGAACAAUACGUUCCCGGAGACGCCGAAGCAACCCAGCGAUGAGAAGAGAGGAGGUGAGAAAUGUAUCGAUUCAGCUGAUGCAGACGGAGAUGGUGAAGCUGGUUUCCAUCAGCAACAGAAUCAAAAUAAUCAAAGUCAGAAUCUUUCCUUGUCGAAGUCUGCUUGUAGCAGCACGUCGGAGACGAGCAAGGGCUCCGGCUUGUCCCUCUCGAGGACAGAGAUUCGAGUCAAGGCCCGCGAGAGGGCGAGGGAGAGAGCGGCGAAGGAGAAGGAGAAAGAGAAUGAUGAAUCUUGCAAUAUUGCUCAUCCUCAGAAUAAUAAUGUCAUCUCAAUGGCUCAAACUUCUUUCACUGAGCUUCUCACCGGUGGGAUAAACACUAGAGUUCCCGCCACUACUACUAGCCCCACCGGCUCCGCUCAACAGAAUCAUCAUCGGAGUGACGAGGCUGAUCUGUUCAACAAAGGAGCUAGGCAUCAAUGGAGUAUAGCGCCCAUGGACUACUUCGGCGCGGAGCUUCUGGGAGGUUCGUCUUCUUCAAGAACCCAGCAUCAUCAAUCUUCCGGGUUUUCAGGGCAGAUCCAACAGGGGAACAAUCUUGUUCAGGCAAUGUCGCUUGCACCUUUCGGAGUCCAAAGUGAAAACCACUCAGAUCAGCUUCAGCAUUUCUCGUUCAUUCCCGACCAUCUAAUGCCGACAGUGGUCACGUCGUCGCAGACCCCCAGCGGAGGGGGCGGUGGAGGUAGUGGCGCCGGCAGCGAGUACAAUCUUAACUUCACAAUCUCUUCUUCUAAUUCCGGCGGCCUUGCUGGUUUCAACAAUAGUAGGGGGACCCUUCAGUCCAAUUCUCCGUCUCUUCUGCCUCAUCAUCUUCAGAGGUUCUCACCUUUAGACGGAUCGUCCAACUUUCCUUUCUUCAUCGGAGCCGCCGCCGCUCCGGCCAUGGAGAAUCACAACAACAACCACCACCAGUUCUCGCCCGAAUUAGAUGGCCGCUUGCAACUCUGCUACGGCGACGGAAGCCGGCAUUCAGACCAGAAGGGGAAGGGGAAGAACUGACUUCCGAUCGACCACACCCCAUUUCUCGCGAUCCAUCGUCUUCCCGGCUUGACCAAAACAUGAAUAAAUAGGGUGGGUGUGUACGUUGAACAUGGUCUGGUUGACUGGCUCUUCCUAGAUGCCAUAUGGUAGCGUAGCUUUUGCAGGGGUGAAGGGGCUGAGGCUGCUUUGUUGGUAACAAUAAACAAUGUUGGUGUGGUUUUGUUGUAUCUGUGGAGAUUGUCGUGUGGAUCAUGGGACGAUUGAUUGAUUUCAUGCGAGGGAUAGGGGAGAGUAGGACGUAGUAGGUCAUGUGAGUCUGAGGAAUGGCGGAUUUGGAGGUGACAGGGUUUGCGCAGAGAGGAAAGUAAGGGGAGUGCGAAGAAAUAGGAAUAGCGUUUUGGUUUUGCAAUCCCAAUUCGUUUUCCUCACUCCCAAGUCUGCUCCCACAUUACUCUGCUCGGCGCACUGUCUGCUUCUGCAUGCUCACUAGUCACUAGCAUAUGGGCCUUGUUUUUAGUGCUAGAUUUUACUGCUUCAUUGCUAUUUCUUUUUACCUUUUUUUUCAAAGUCAGGGCCUUUCCCCCAAAAAUUUAAAUAUAAAUACUUAUUAUUAUUUCCGCAAGAAAUUUGUGUUUAUUUUAGGAAAAAAGGAAAGAUGUUUGGAUCAUUUUAACAUCUACAGGAAUUUUAUUUACUUAAUUUUUAUAUAUUUAAGGAAUACUGUAUAAUUUAUAAAAAUAGAUGGGAUGUCUAUUAUAAUUGUGAUUUUCUCAAAAUUCCAGAGGGAAUGCAUAUACUUUAUUCAAAAUGGAAAUUCAUUAUAUUCUCUCGUGGUAAGGGGUAGAUUAAGGUGUAAGAAGAGGUCCAGGAUUUAACUCUUCAUGUAUUUUAAAAAAAGAAAUUAAUUACUCCGUCUGCUUAGAAUUAUAAGGAUUUUUUAGUUAAUUUACACUUCUCAUUAGCUAGUUAAUGCCAUUUAAAAUUACAUAUUUUUUUAUAUUUAUCUUUAUUCAAUAGGUUAUCUCAUUUAGAAAACUUUAUAAAUAUAAUUACACCCCUAAUUAAAGAUAUUUUAAAAAAAGGUUAUAUUAAUUAAUUCUUAAAAUACCUUAUAUUUUUUAACAUGUUACCUUAGAAAAGAGUAUGUUAUGUUAUAAAUAUGUGUAAACAUGACACAUUUUACUUAAAGAAUAUCUUAGCUAUACCAGUUUAAUUGGAAGCCUUGAGUUUGAACUUGAAAGGGUUUUGAGCAUACUCGAUCUGGAUUAGUCAGCGCUUUAGCUUGGGACACUUUAUUGUAUUAUAAUUAUAAUAUUUUGGCCAAAUAUUUUAUUAUAAUUAUUGUAUUAUAUAAAGUUAAAAGAUACUUUUAGAGAGGAGAUUUGGCAUUUUAAAAUAUAAGAUAUUUUAAAAAGAUUAAGACUUAUUUUAAUAUUACCGUCUCUCUCUCUAUUUAACUUCCAUCCCUAUUUCUUUUCAAUAUAUUAAAUUAAGAAUAUUUUUAAAAGUUUAUAUUUUUAUUUUAAAAAAGUAAAAUUUUUAAAUGUAUUUAAUUUAAGUUUAUUAUAUGUAAAAUGUUGUCAAAAAGUAUUUUAUAAUUUGGGAGAGAGGGAAUAUAUUAGAAUGCAGUUGUUGGGAUUGGUUUAGAAUUGAGAAUUAUAGUAAAAAGGGGAGCUUUCUCAUAAGGAGUAGGCUGACUUCUCAACCAGGUUAGGUCAUACUCAGGAGGGAAAUUUAAAAAAAAUCCGAGUUUUAAGGAAAUUAGUGUAGGCUUAACUGUAAUGCACUUGGUAAUUACAUAUAGUACAUAGGACCAGUAUUAUCUUUUUCAUCGCUUCUCUCAAGAACCACAACUUCUCGUAACUAAUGAUUAAUAUACACUACUUUAAUACUGACCCAACCCAACACAUGUCCCAUUUUUCAAAUUUAGUAAAAAUAAAUUACAACUAGUAAUAAACAAGGCAGAAAAUUUGCUGGUUUAUUGUCAGCUGAUCCUUCUGCAAAUGUUAUGGGUUGUGGUCUAUGCCUAGGUUUAAGCCAUUUUAUCUUGUGUAACUCAAGAUCUCAACUAUAUGAUCUUUCGAGUAAACGAAUCUUUCCGUGAUUUGUUGGAACCUGGUGUAUUAUUAUUAUUAUUAUUAUUAUUAUUAUUAUUAUUAAUGUUUUUAAACUUAUGAUUAGUGAUAUAGUUAACUGGAAAUAUUGUAAAUGAUAUGAUAAUCAUGCAAGGAAAAUUCACAAUGUAAAAAAGCAGAUAUGUAAUGAAUAUACUUUAUUAUCACUACAAGGAAACGUUGAAAAUAUUAUAAAUAAAUAUUGAAUGCAGCAGUAACGACAUAAUUACCCAAAAAGUCAUUAUUUAACAACCGCCAAUACAUUUAAAUAUUUCAAUUUGGCAUUUUUGUUUGAUUUUUCUAAUAAUUUUUGAAUUAUUGAAUAUGUGUGUGUGUGUAAAUUUAAUUGAAACACAAAUAAUGAUUUCACUUUAAAAAAAAAUUGUUUGUUAAAAGUCGAUAUCCAGUUAUGAUUCAUAUAGCUUUAGCCUUUACGUUUAGGUUAGGUAAUGUACCGUGCAUGAAUUGAGCUUGAGGAAAUUGGCUUGAGCCUUUCUUUUGCAAAAGAUGGCUUGAAUGAUGUUAUCAUGAUUUUAAUCCUGUAUUAUAUACACACAAACAAAAUAAUGUUAGCAUUUAAGGUCCCUCACUCUCUAAGAGCACUUGAACUUAACAUUCCCUCUUGUUAGUUGUAAAAAUAACUGAAGUGAACUUUCCAUUGAUGUUAUUGUUAAUCUUUGGAAAUAUAGUUUGUCUUUUGAUGAUUAACUUGGACAUCCUUAUACUUGCAUUCAUGUUGAACAUGUUAUAUAAAUGUUCUUUACUUGUUUACUUCGAGAGUGGAUUUGACCCAAUAAAUUUAUUGAGUUUGAUUCCCAAGUAACUCAAAUAGCAUAUUGAUCAACAAUGCACUAUAAAUAGAAAGAACACAUUCAUAUUGAUAGUGGCCUCAAUGACUGUGAAUGUCUUAGAUGCGUGUUAGAUGCAUACUCGCUCUUGUUUACAAUAUAAAGUAUUGAUAACUAGUUCAUGGUACUACUAAAAAGAGUUAGUUAAAACUUUAAUGUUUUAAAAUAUUGUACACUUUUUUAAUUAUACCUCUUUAAAUACUCUAUAUAAAUGCCUUAAUAAUGAUAAUUCAAGUUCUGAUAGACCAUUUUUUUAAUGAAAUAAUCAAUAAAAAUAUCCUAUAUUAUGGUACGGAGAGGGUAUAUAUAUAUAUAUAUAUAUUGGGUUUAGAUGGAUAAGUAGUGUUGGAAUUUGGAUGAAAAACAAAAAACUAAAGAAUAGGUUAUUUUGUAGAAGGCUGAAAUUUUAAGAGGGUCACUGGUCAACUUUGAAAGUUGAGAGAGUAAAUUACACAAUCUAUCAAGAUGGGGAGUGCUGUUUUUAUCUUGUCAUGAGAGUUCAAAAAAAAAAAAAGAUUGCCAGCUUAACAGAUGCCGUGAUGAUUCAACUCAAUUGGAAUCGAGAGAGCAAAAGACUACUAAUUGGAAUUGAAAUGACAAAACAAAGUGAUAUAAAUAAACCUUGUGUUCUUGGGAGAGCCAUAGCGUAUUCCUAAUAUUGGUGAGGUUAUAGAUGCUCUGGCCUAUGAACUCUACAUUAGAAUCUCACAGAUUCGUGUCAUGUAAGAGUCACGAAACUGACCUUGAUGCAAAAAGAUUUUAAGCUUAUGAAAAAUACUAAAAAAUUUUCAAUGUUUUGAACUCAUUGUCUAGUACAAAAAUUUAGUUGUUGGAACUCUAGGAUUCAUAAGGAUUAGGGCAGACUUAAAGGUUUAAAAAGCACUUCUAAAUAUACUCAUAAAUUACCGUUCUUUUUCAUUAGGAGCAAGAUUUGAACCCACGCCCUUAUAGAAUAUGAGAUCAGUCCUUAGCUUGUGUGGACCAGUAUUCAUUGGCACUUGAUGAGCUUCCUUUGGUCACUCAUAAGCUGUCGAGUAAGUAGCUCCAAAUUCAGCUGGUAAUUGAGCUUCUUGAAGCCUGAAAUUCUUAAUAUGAUGGUUAACUAUAUCUGAAAUCAGUUCAUGAUUUUCAUUAAAGCGUUCUAUUUGUUCAAAUCUUUUCAUUCUCAGUCCCUAUCUGAAGUUUAAGCUAGUGUCUUCAAAUGUACAGUGAGCUAAGAUGCUUGUCUACAUGAACAGGAGUUGCUAUUAGAAUUUGAAUGUGCUUUUAUUUAAGAAAGCUGUUAGGCUGCAUCCAUGGCUUCUUCCGCCCCUUGAUGGCUGAUUGAGAUUGCUUCUUUUAGAUUCUGUUGAAUACCCACCUUGUCAUGGUUUGCCCUAUGUUGGUACUGAACAGGCCUUGGACCAAAAGCUAGAGCACUAGAUGCAAGCUAUGGCCCACGGUUUGUCUUUGCUGCUGCUACAUCGGAUGGUACAAUGUUGUCACCGGGUGUUGGUAUUCAUGUGUUGAUCAAUUUGAAGUAUCAUUCACUUAAGUUCAGUAUUUGGAUACAUAUAUAUAUAUAUAUAAUUAUCUAUAUUAAUUAAUCUAUGCGUGUUGCAUAUCCCUGUUUCUGGAGAAAUGUAAAAGAAGCUUGAAGUUAUUA